rnacentral:SRP_RNA from 1 species
GCGCCGGCCCCCCGCGACGGUGAGCCGUGAACCCCGCCAGGCCCGGAAGGGAGCAACGGCAGCGGUGCCACCGGGUGCCGGGGCAAGUCGGCGCGAA